rnacentral:rRNA from 1 species
CCAGACUCCUACGGGAGGCAGCAGUGAGGAAUAUUGGUCAAUGGCCGAGAGGCUGAACCAGCCAAGUCGCGUGAGGGAAGACGGCCCUACGGGUUGUAAACCUCUUUUGUCGGGGAGCAAAGCGAGUCACGUGUGACUCAUUGAGAGUACCCGAAGAAAAAGCAUCGGCUAACUCCGUGCCAGCAGCCGCGGUAAUACGGAGGAUGCGAGCGUUAUCCGGAUUUAUUGGGUUUAAAGGGUGCGCAGGCGGAGGUGCAAGUCAGCGGUCAAAUUGCGGGGCUCAACCCCGUACUGCCGUUGAAACUGCAUCCCUUGAGUGCGCGAGAAGUAUGCGGAAUGCGUGGUGUAGCGGUGAAAUGCAUAGAUAUCACGCAGAACUCCGAUUGCGAAGGCAGCAUACCGGCGCGCAACUGACGCUCAUGCACGAAAGCGUGGGUAUCGAACAGGAUUAGAUACCCCAGUA